rnacentral:rRNA from 1 species
AAGAGUUUGAUCCUGGCUCAGAUUGAACGCUGGCGGCAUGCCUUACACAUGCAAGUCGAACGGCAGCACGGGAGCAAUCCUGGUGGCGAGUGGCGAACGGGGGAGUAAUGUAUCGGAACGUACCUUUCAGUGGGGGAUAACGUAGCGAAAGUUACGCUAAUACCGCAUAUUCUGUGAGCAGGAAAGCAGGGGAUCUUAGGACCUUGCGCUGAUUGAGCGGCCGAUAUCAGAUUAGCUAGUUGGUGAGGUAAAGGCUCACCAAGGCGACGAUCUGUAGCGGGUCUGAGAGGAUGAUCCGCCACACUGGAACUGAGACACGGUCCAGACUCCUACGGGAGGCAGCAGUGGGGAAUUUUGGACAAUGGGGGCAACCCUGAUCCAGCCAUGCCGCGUGAGUGAAGAAGGCCUUCGGGUUGUAAAGCUCUUUCGGCCGGGAAGAAAUCGCAUCAGCUAAUACCUGGUGUGGAUGACGGUACCGGAAUAAGAAGCACCGGCUAACUACGUGCCAGCAGCCGCGGUAAUACGUAGGGUGCGAGCGUUAAUCGGAAUUACUGGGCGUAAAGCGUGCGCAGGCGGUUUUGUAAGACAGGCGUGAAAUCCCCGGGCUCAACCUGGGAACUGCGUUUGUGACUGCAAGGCUAGAGUAUGGCAGAGGGGGGUGGAAUUCCACGUGUAGCAGUGAAAUGCGUAGAGAUGUGGAGGAACACCGAUGGCGAAGGCAGCCCCCUGGGCCAAUACUGACGCUCAUGCACGAAAGCGUGGGUAGCAAACAGGAUUAGAUACCCUGGUAGUCCACGCCCUAAACGAUGUCAACUAGGUGUUGGGUGGGUAAAACCAUUUAGUACCGGAGCUAACGCGUGAAGUUGACCGCCUGGGGAGUACGGCCGCAAGGUUAAAACUCAAAGGAAUUGACGGGGACCCGCACAAGCGGUGGAUGAUGUGGAUUAAUUCGAUGCAACGCGAAAAACCUUACCUACCCUUGACAUGUCCAGGAGCCCUUAGAGAUUUGGGUGUGCCCGAAAGGGAACUGGAACACAGGUGCUGCAUGGCUGUCGUCAGCUCGUGUCGUGAGAUGUUGGGUUAAGUCCCGCAACGAGCGCAACCCUUGUCGUUAAUUGCCAUCAUUUAGUUGGGCACUUUAACGAGACUGCCGGUGACAAACCGGAGGAAGGUGGGGAUGACGUCAAGUCCUCAUGGCCCUUAUGGGUAGGGCUUCACACGUCAUACAAUGGUCGGUACAAAGGGUUGCCAACCCGCGAGGGGGAGCCAAUCCCAGAAAGCCGAUCGUAGUCCGGAUCGUAGGCUGCAACUCGCCUGCGUGAAGUCGGAAUCGCUAGUAAUCGUGGAUCAGCAUGUCACGGUGAAUACGUUCCCGGGCCUUGUACACACCGCCCGUA